rnacentral:rRNA from 1 species
UACGUAGGGGGCUAGCGUUGUCCGGAUUUAUUGGGCGUAAAGAGCGUGUAGGCGGCCAGGUAGGUCUGCUGUGAAAACUCGAGGCUCAACCUCGAGACGUCGGCGGAAACCAUCUGGCUAGAGUCCGGAAGAGGAGAGUGGAAUUCCUGGUGUAGCGGUGAAAUGCGCAGAUAUCAGGAGGUACACCUGUGGUGUAGACAGCUUUCUGGACCAUAGCUGACGCUGAGACACGAAAGCGUGGGUAGCAAACAGG